UUUUCCAGAGAUGGAUUAGUGCCUUCGGGAACACUGAGACAGGUGCUGCAUGGCUGUCGUCAGCUCGUGUUGUGAGAUGUUGGGUUAAGUCCCGCAACGAGCGCAACCCUUAUCCUUAGUUGCCAGCGGCUCGGCCGGGAACUCUGGGGAGACUGCCGGUGAUAAACCGGAGGAAGGUGGGGACGACGUCAAGUCAUCAUGGCCCUUACGGGAUGGGCUACACACGUGCUACAAUGGCGCGUACAAAGGGCAGCGAACCUGCGAAGGUAAGCGAAUCUCAUAAAGCGCGUCGUAGUCCGGAUUGGAGUCUGCAACUCGACUCCAUGAAGUCGGAAUCGCUAGUAAUCGUGGAUCAGAAUGCCACGGUGAAUACGUUCCCGGGCCUUGUACACACCGCCCGUCACACCAUGGGAGUGGGCUGCACCAGAAGUGGUUAGUUUAACCUUCGGGAGAACGAUCACCACGGUGUGGUUCAUGACUGGGGUGAAGUCGUAACAAGGUAGCCGUAGGGGAACCUGCGGCUGGAUCACCUCCUUACAUUA
rnacentral:rRNA from 1 species